GAUGCAACGCGAAGAACCUUACCUACUCUUGACAUCCAGAGAACCACCAGAGAUGGAGAUUGUGCCUUCGGGARCUCUGAGACAGGUGCUGCAUGGCUGUGCGUCAGCUGCGUGUUGUGAAAUGUUGGGUUAAGUCCCGCAACGACGCGCAACCCUUAUCCUUGUUUGCCAUCGAGUAAUGUCGGGAACUCCAGGGAGACUGCCGGUGAUAAACCGGAGGAAGGUGGGGASGACGUCAAGUCAUCAUGGCCCUUACGAGUAGGGCUACACACGUGCUCCAAUGGCGCAUACAGAGGGCGGCCAGCCAGCGAUAGUGAGAGAAUCCCAAAAACUUGCGUAGUAUGUCCGGAGUUGGAGUCUGCAAUCUCGCACUCUCAUGAAGUCGGAAUCGCUAGUAAUCAGUGGAUCAGAAUGCACACCGAGUGAAUACGUUACACUCGGUCCUUGUGCACAUCGCGCCCGUCACCCCA
rnacentral:rRNA from 1 species